rnacentral:rRNA from 1 species
CACUGUGUGAAUUAAUGUGAACUGCAAACUGCUUUGAACAUCGACAUCUUGAACGCAAAUUGCGGCCACGGGUUAGCCUGUGGCCACGCCUGUCCGAGGGUCGGCUUAUAAACUAUCACGACGCCCAACAAGUCGUGGUUUGGGUCUUGCCAGCUGGCGUGAUAUCCCCUAAUCCGUGGGGUGCCGGAUCUAUGGCUUUUCCCUAAUGUAUCCGAACACAAAAUCAUGGCCGUUGGUCUUGAUUGCGAUGUGGCGACGGAGUCGUGGCUCAAUGAUAAAAUGACGCGCUCUGUCAGCUCCGCAUUCUCGAGUCUUCGGUAUGUGUUCGAUGUUUGAUGUUUAAUUGAUACAUCAAUACAUCUAUACCCUGACCUCGGAUCAGACGUGAUUACCCGCUGAACUUAAGCAUAUCACUAAGCGGAGGAAAAG